GAAAAGCGAUAAGUAAUGUGAAUUGCAGAAUUCAGUGAAUCAUCGAAUCUUUGAACGCACAUUGCGCCCGCCAGUAUUCUGGCGGGCAUGCCUGUUCGAGCGUCAUUACAACCCUCAGGCCCCCGGGCCUGGCGUUGGGGAUCGGCGGAAGCCCCCUGCGGGCACAACGCCGUCCCCCAAAUACAGUGGCGGUCCCGCCGCAGCUUCCAUUGCGUAGUAGCUAACACCUCGCAACUGGAGAGCGGCGCGGCCACGCCGUAAAACACCCAACUUCUGAAUGUUGACCUCGAAUCAGGUAGGAAUACCCGCUGAACUUAAGC
rnacentral:misc_RNA from 1 species